GUGAGGAAUUUUCCGCAAUGGGCGAAAGCCUGACGGAGCAAUGCCGCGUGAAGGAUGAAGGCCUAUGGGUUGUAAACUUCUUUUCUCAGAAAAGAAUUAUGACGGUAUCUGAGGAAUAAGCAUCGGCUAACUCUGUGCCAGCAGCCGCGGUAAGACAGAGGAUGCAAGCGUUAUCCGGAAUGAUUGGGCGUAAAGCGUCUGUAGGUUGUUUAAAAAGUAUUCUGUCAAAGAUUAGGGCUUAACCCUAGAUAGGCAGAAUAAACUUUUAAGCUAGAGUUUGGUAGAGGCAGAGGGAAUUCCCGGUGGAGCGGUGAAAUGCGUAGAUAUCGGGAGGAACACCAAAGGCGAAGGCACUGUGCUGGGCCAAUACUAACACUGAGAGACGAAAGCGAGGGGAGCAAAUGGGAUUAGAAACCCCUGUAGUCC
rnacentral:rRNA from 1 species